rnacentral:lncRNA from 1 species
CAAAACUGGCAAAAAAAAAAUCCAAAUCCAGGCCACCAAAGUGGAGCGCACAAACUUAACUGCUACACCCCCAGGGUGGCUCCUCAAUUUCCUGGUUUUGAUACCAUACUAAGGUUACACAAAAUGUAACCAUUGGGAGAAACUGGGUGAAGGGUACACAGGAGCUCUCUGUAUUGUCUUUGCAGCUUCCUGUGAAUCUAUAACUAUUUCAAAAUAAAAAGUUUAAAAAAAUAAGACCCCCAGGUGAUUUGUAUGCACACAAAUUUUUGAGAAAUACUGACUCAGUUUGUUAACUGUCACAAGUAUUAAAUAAGCUGAAAUAGAAUUAUGAUGUGCUCAGAUUGUUAGUUAACAAGCUAGUCACCUGGCAAGCUUAAAAAAAAGUCCAGGUUCCAGACUAACUCAGACUCUGACACAAUGAUCCUCAGAUUCUGGGGCCUGAGCUUCUGCACUUCUCACAAGAUCUCAGGUGAAUAGCAAAGACCAACCCCUGUCAAGAAGGGAAUGCCACAAGAUUGAAAAGAUGUGGUACCACAUGAGUAGGUGCUUUUGUUAACAUGUAUAAGAAAACUAGUCACUAAUCUACUUGUUCUCUUUUUUAUCUCCUCACCAAAAUAGUAGUGGCAACUGUAAAUAGUGGAAGCAUUAUGAGGCUCCAAGUCGUUCUGAAAAAUGAAAUAGAUUUGCAAAUACUAGCAAAUAAAAUCUUCACUUACAAAUAUUUCCAUAAUCACCAAGUCCAUCUACAUUGGGAGGAAGGGUCCAGAAGACAUUAAAAUAGGCUUCACAGCUAUAGAAGAGAGCCAUGGAGAGAAAAGUCUAUAGAAUUCUAGACUGGAUUUCAUUUUUCCUUGGAAUGUUGAAGCCAUUGCUUUAUUGUGGUCCAGCUUUCCUUUCCAUCAUAUGUGAUCUGUUCCCCUCCCUACCCCUAGAGUUUUAGAAUCUUCUCUUUCACCCUGACAUUCUAAAAUCUCGCAACGCUUUGUCUUUGUGUGGGAUUUUUUUUCAUUCGUUUUGCUGGACACUCAGUGGAUGCUUUCAAUCUGGAGACUCAGGCAUUUCCAUUCUGAGAAGUUUUCUUGUACUUUUUUCCUUGAUUAGUUCCUCCUCUCUUUUCUAUGUUCUGUCUUUUUAGAACGCCUUUAUUUGAACAUGGGACCUGCUCAAAUGGUCCUAUUUCCUUAUAUUUCUCUCUUUUUUUUUCUACUUUGAAGAUGUCUUCAACUUUAAUUUACAAAGCUUCUAUUAAUUUUUUAGUUUAGCUUAUGCAUUUUUAAUUUCCAAAAACUAUUCAUUGACUGCUGAAUAUUCACUUUUGGAGCAUCCUUUUCUUAUUUCUUGGAUUCAAUAUCAUCUUCUGCUCCUUGGAUUGUCUCUUAUCUUCUAAAUUUUUUAAUGUUUGUUUUAUUUCCCUUACAUGUUAAAUGCUUU